ACACCUCAACUCUCAUGGUUUGCCAUGAUGAGCUUGGACUUUGGGAGUUUUGCUGGCUGAUGGUCAGCUCUCCUCAAAUGAAUCAGCUUGCCAGUGUUUUGGUGGCGUUCACAGGUGUGAUAAAUAUCUACGCUUGUGGGUUCCCAUCAUGCAACCUUCAGCGAUGAAGGUUCGCUGGAGCUUAUAGAUGUCUCUCUUAGUGAGGACAGCUUUUUGAAGU
rnacentral:misc_RNA from 1 species